AACUUUGCGCGGAGGCAAUAUCUUAACCGAUGAGGUUAAUCCGAGAUGCGAUUAUUGCUAGUUAAGAACUGAUAAUAAACUGAUUAAUGAUAAAUGAGUAUGACCAGUAUUGUUGAUUACCAAAUGCGAACUGAUUUUUGG